GAUUUGCCGGAUUUGGACUCUUUGGUGAUUUAUCGGUCACGCAUUGCACUUUGCAGGAUUAGAUUCAGAAUCGUGACAUUUGAGUCUGAACUGUAGUAGCAAAGCCCCCCGAGGGUGCGUCUACAAUCCCCUACUCAUGCAGAUUUGAGGGUCGGUGCCGACCAGGGCCCCGGCAGACUUUGCCCUUCCUCCGGCAGUUCUUCGAUACUGUACGGACGACAAAGGUAAUCCAGAACUCUCAGUUCUUCAUCUUUUCAAUUUUGCUUCAUCUUGCACAUUCAUGACUUCUAAUUAAUUCAUGCACUUAUUACCCGCAGGUUAACUGGCAGCCUUAGAUAGCCAUGCCAGGGAAUCCUCGGUUUUUGUUCGUUGGGGCAUGGGGCACUUCGCGGUACAGGGUUCUUCUUGAGGGACCGGUUGGCAGAGGAUGAUUUCUUGGAGAGCGCUUCAUGCGCCAGACGAUGGGAAACUUUGAUCAGGACGUCCCCUCAUCGCCUCCACUAGAGAUGCGGUCUGCAGGGGAUCUCGCACCCCGGAAGACGGAGGACCUCAUGUUGGGUAUUAACGUGGUGCUUUUCUUGAAGGAGGGGGAUUAUGCGAAAUAUCGCCAUACGUACUUGAUGCCUUCACUGUUAGAUGUCCGUGCCUCCAGGAGGAGGGCUGCUGACGUGCCUUCCUCGAGUCACGCCUAAGCUAGAGACAUUCCUUCAACCAGCGGAGCUGGCACAUCGAGGGGUGGGGCUGGAUGGAUACCCUCUACUUGCCAACAUGCUGGAUGGCCAGAUCUUCCGACCGGGCUGAUAGGUUGGGAGUAUGGGACACCAUACUAGAUCUCGCUAGAGCCUCCGCGACCGGAUCACCGAUACGUCAGUGACCCUGACUCACCACCGCCUCCCAGAGAGUACACUGAUGGGUUGCUCGAAGUGGUGGCCUCGCUCGAGAGCAUGGUCUUACGAAGAGAGACACUGCUGCACUCCUCCAGUAUCCCAGUCGCACCUGUACCGCCCGGGCCAUCCCGGCCUUCUUGAGUAGCUAGGAGAGGAGCAUCGACUUGCGGUCGAGGUGGGUACAGAGCACCCGCCAGAUAUGAGGAGGAGUCUAGCGAGGAGGAGCUAGCACAUCCGCAGUCAGAAACGUCUGCAAGUAGGGAUGAUGACUCCGGUUCGGGUUCUGAGGAUGGAGGUGACACCGAGGAGGUUUUCGAGGGUGGUGACUCCGAUUCAGACGGGGGCGGUGGCGGUGGCGUGAAGGCUGCUCAGCCGAAGAGGAGGAAGAGGGCCUCUCGGUCUUGAGCUUGUUAGCACUGAUGCAGAUGAUCCUGCUUUAUGUUUCUUUUUACAUGUAGUUGUAGCACAUUGUACAGCUUAGGCAGCUUUAUUUUCUUCAAAACUUGUACCUUUUUGUAAAAUGUUGUAAAAAGAAGCCAUGAUGAAAUG